GUAAAACUGUAUUUACAUAUUUAUUAAAAUUUGCUUUAAUACAUAUUAUGCUACAAUUAAAGGGACACCAUAGGCACCUGAACAACUUUAGCUUAUUUGAGCAAUCUUGGUGUAUAGAUCAUGCCCCUGUAGUCUCACUGCUCAAUUUUCUGCUAUUUAUGAGUUAAAUCACGUUGUUUAUGCAGCCCUGGUCACACCUCUCCGCAUGUGACUUACACAGCCUUCCUAAACACUUCCAGUAAAGAGAGAUCUAAUGUUUAAACUUCCUUUU